rnacentral:rRNA from 1 species
AGUGAACGCUGGCGGUAGGCCUAACACAUGCAAGUCGAACGGCAGCACAGUAAGAGCUUGCUCUUACGGGUGGCGAGUGGCGGACGGGUGAGGAAUACAUCGGAAUCUACUUUUUCGUGGGGGAUAACGUAGGGAAACUUACGCUAAUACCGCAUCCGACCUACGGGUGAAAGCAGGGGAUCUUCUGACCUUGCGCGAUUGAAUGAGCCGAUGUCGGAUUAGCUAGUUGGCGGGGUAAAGGCCCACCAAUGCGACGAUCCGUAGCUGGUCUGAGAGGAUGAUCAGCCACACUGGAGCUGAGACACGGUCAGACUCCUACGGGAGGCAGCAGUGGGGAAUAUUGGACAAUGGGCGCAAGCCUGAUCCAGCCAUACUGCGUGGGUGAAGAAGGCCUUCGGGUUGUAAAGCCCUUUUGUUGGGAAAGAAAAGCAGCAGGUUAAUACCCCGCUGUUCUGACGGUACCCAAAGAAUAAGCACCGGCUAACUUCGUG